UCCUAAAAUGCAGUUCGAACGGACCAUGGAAAUUGGGUAACCGAGACUAUGGUCAGUGGCGAAAGGGUGAGGAACAAAUAGGUAACAUACCCCGUUACUCCGGGAUAGCGUCGUUGCCGCAAGGCAACUACCGAAAGGGGCGGUAAUACCGGAUGAUAUCGGACUUCAUAAGGAGUCCGAUCAACGAUUUAUCGGUGCGGGAUUGGCCUAUUUCCUAUCAGCUAGUUGGUGAGGUAAUGGCCCACCAAGGCGAUGACGGGUAGCGGGACUGAGAGGUUGACCCGCCACAUCGGGACUGAGACACUGCCCGGACCUCCACGGAGGGCUGCAGUAACGAAUAUUGCGCAAUGGGCGAAAGCCUGACGCAGCGACGCCGCGUGUAGGACGAAGCCCCCCGGGGUGUAAACUACUGUCAGGGGUUAGAAAGUCUGAGCAAUCAGAUUGAUCAGCCCCAGAGGAAGUCACGGCUAACUUCGUGCCAGCAGCCGCGGUAAUACGAAGGUGGCUAGCGUUGUUCGGUGUCACUGGGCUUAAAGCGCUCGUAGGCGGAACCGUAAGUGUCUUGUGAAAUCCCCCGGCUCAACCGGGGAAUGGCUAGGCAUACUGCGGUUCUUGAGGCAAACAGGGGUGCAUGGAACUCUUGGUGGAGCGGUGGAAUGCGUAGAUAUCAAGAGGAACGCCGAUGGUGAAGACAGUGCACUGGGUUUGUCCUGACGCUGAGGAGCGAAAGCGUGGGGAGCAAACAGGAUUAGAUACCCUGGUAGUCCACGCCCUAAACGAUGUUUACUAGGUUGUAGAGGAUCUGA
rnacentral:rRNA from 1 species